rnacentral:rRNA from 1 species
CUCCAGACUCCUACGGGAGGCAGCAGUGGGGAAUAUUGCACAAUGGGGGAAACCCUGAUGCAGCGACGCCGCGUGAGCGAUGAAGUAUUUCGGUAUGUAAAGCUCUAUCAGCAGGGAAGAAGAUGACGGUACCUGACUAAGAAGCCCUGGCUAACUACGUGCCAGCAGCCGCGGUAAUACGUAGGGGGCAAGCGUUAUCCGGAUUUACUGGGUGUAAAGGGAGCGUAGACGGCGAUGCAAGCCAGAUGUGAAAGCCCGGGGCUCAACCCCGGGACUGCAUUUGGAACUGUGUGGCUGGAGUGUCGGAGAGGCAGGCGGAAUUCCUAGUGUAGCGGUGAAAUGCGUAGAUAUUAGGAGGAACACCAGUGGCGAAGGCGGCCUGCUGGACGAUGACUGACGUUGAGGCUCGAAAGCGUGGGGAGCAAACAGGAUUAGAUACCCGCGUAU